UGGGGAAUUUUGGACAAUGGGCGAAAGCCUGAUCCAGCAAUGCCGCGUGUGUGAAGAAGGCCUUCGGGUUGUAAAGCACUUUUGUCCGGAAAGAAAUCCUUGGCUCUAAUACAGUCGGGGGAUGACGGUACCGGAAGAAUAAGCGCCGGCUAACUACGUGCCAGCAGCCGCGGUAAUACGUAGGGUGCAAGCGUUAAUCGGAAUUACUGGGCGUAAAGCGUGCGCAGGCGGUUUGCUAAGACCGAUGCGAAAUCCCCGGGCUCAACCUGGGAACUGCAUUGGUGACUGGCAGGCUAGAGUAUGGCAGAGGGGGGUAGAAUUCCACGUGUAGCAGUGAAAUGCGUAGAGAUGUGGAGGAAUACCGAUGGCGAAGGCAGCCCCCUGGGCCAAUACUGACGCUCAUGCACGAAAGCGUGGGGAGCAAACAGGAUUAGAUACCCUGGUAGUCCACGCCCUAAACGAUGUCAACUAGUUGUUGGGGAUUCAUUUCCUUAGUAACGUAGCUAACGCGUGAAGUUGACCGCCU
rnacentral:rRNA from 1 species